rnacentral:rRNA from 1 species
CAGCCCUUGACAUGCCCGGCUACUUGCAGAGAUGCAAGGUUCCCUUCGGGGACCGGGACACAGGUGCUGCAUGGCUGUCGUCAGCUCGUGUCGUGAGAUGUUGGGUUAAGUCCCGCAACGAGCGCAACCCUCGCCCUUAGUUGCCAGCAUUCAGUUGGGCACUCUAAGGGGACUGCCGGUGAUAAGCCGAGAGGAAGGUGGGGAUGACGUCAAGUCCUCAUGGCCCUUACGGGCUGGGCUACACACGUGCUACAAUGGUGGUGACAGUGGGCAGCGAGACAGCGAUGUCGAGCUAAUCUCCAAAAGCCAUCUCAGUUCGGAUUGCACUCUGCAACUCGAGUGCAUGAAGUUGGAAUCGCUAGUAAUCGCGGAUCAGCAUGCCGCGGUGAAUA